rnacentral:sRNA from 1 species
AACUUUUCCCAGCAUGCUAUUGGCUCAUCAUGACCGGCUAAAAGCAUGCAGGAAACAUAUGAAGUCUGUGGUAUAUGAAAGAGAAAAUGUUAAGAGAUGAACUAUUUGACUCUAAUAAUAUACAUAAUUCUAAAUGUAAGGGCCAUAUUGGUAGUUUGCCUGCCUUAAUUGUGUUUGGGUUUUUUAAGUAUUGAGAAUGGUUUAAUAAUUGCUUCAGCAUCUACAGGCAUGAAAAUGAGUCAGAAAUUCAGCAACUUACUCGGCGACUUCCAGAUCUAGAGGAUUAAGUCUCAGAGACUCGACAACGUGAGAUGGAACUCGAGAACUACAACAGGAGAAACUACGCUCGACUCACCAGCGAGUAUACUCAGAGGGCAGUGAAGGGGAUCCGGAUCACUUGUACAUUUACAAAACUCAGCUCAAGAGUACUGGCCGUAAACAAGCGAGUGUUACAUCACAACUCAGAGCUGACCAACUUUGUGUCCAGACUGACGAAGGAGAAGAUGGAGCUACAUGUACGCAACACACUGGGUCUAGAGGGGAUCUGGAGAUACAGGCAGAGGUGUGCUGAACAACAGAAUGGCCAUGAUACGAGUGAAAACCACACGGAUCAGGAGAAUCGAUAUCUGGAAGCUCGUGCCUCAUGGGCCAAAGAGAGGGUGUCGCUACAGCUGGCCCUUAAUCAAAUGGAACAGGAGCUUGACCAAUGUUGGGGCGACCUCAGAGUGGAACGAGACCGAAGGUCAGGCAUCGCUGGAGUAGGGACGGAGGGGGACAGGGAUAGGGACUGUGAGCAGACCACCUUGGCUCUGAUUGCCAGGUUGGGGGUCUACCCCUCCCCUGAGGACCUGCAGCAAGGGACCAGGUCCCGUCGACUGGUCACCGCAUAUAGGAGUGCUGCCAGGAUGGUGGUAGCCGUAACUAGGUCAGUUACGCACCCAACUCUAACAGUUUCUCACCACUCUGCAUCAACACCCAGUCACGCUCGAACGGUUUUUGACCCAUCAACAGUCACGCUUCAUCGCCCCUCCAUUCAAGUGUUCAUCAGUCUCCAUACAGUCCGUCCUAUGUCUUCCAGCUUUACUCAUAGACACCUCCUUAAUGGAGCUUCUCCAUAUCACUCACUAGGGGGAGCCUCUAGGGGUUACCAUGUCAACAGCAAUGGAGUAACCAAUGGGAGCUCUCCUUAUCAGUCAGUGGGAGGGAUUUCUGAUAGUUACCAUGUCAACGGCAAUUUCUCUGUCCAUACCACACCCCCACACGGGAUUACAGCAGCAAACCACACCCCACUUCUGAAAACUCAGGUGCUAGAAGGUAAGUUAUAUAAACCAGAGAAGUACUCCAAGGUCAAGGUUAUUUCCACGGAGAUAGGCGUGAGAUCCAGAGACAUUGUCAAGACUUUGCUGUCCUCAUGACCUUGUUCGACCUUGACUUUCAUUGGCUCCAUACUCUCUGAUGUUGGACAAUAACAUUCUUUUUAUCUGCAAUAAUCAUAAGUCCUGCCAUUUCAGGAACCAAAGAAAGGAAUGUAAAGAUUUGUUAAUUUGGGACCAGAUGUUUUAUAUGUUAUUGUUUUUAUUAUUGAGUUCAAUAUCAUGGUAUUUAUUUGUGCUUGAGCAAAUUCUGAACUCAUCGAAUGAUUUUAGGAGGCAC